rnacentral:lncRNA from 1 species
UCCACUAUAACCAUAAACAUACACAUCAAGCCUUACUCAAACAUAAACAAAACAUAGCUAAGCUAUUACAACCAAACAUGGCAACCCAUGCUUGAACCUCUUCUUUCCCAUAGCUCUAUCUGACUUACUCUGGCUUAUUUACUCUGGCCCUGCAAAACUGGGGUUAAGGGAAUGGGGUGAGCUACAAGAGCCCAGUGAGUAGAAACAGAGAAAACAGUUCAUUAAUUAUGAUUUCAUUUUAUUAUUCAUUAUUUAUUUUAUUUCAUUUUUAUUAUUUUAUUUUUAUUUCAUUCUUUUAUUUCAUGCUUUCAUGAAAUGCGUCAUAUCACAACGAAUACACAUCAAACAUUUCUUCCCCGCUUGAGUUCACGCUAGCAAUCUCUUCCUCUUGCGGGUGAUUUUAGAGGGUUCUCGAAACGUCCUUCCCCUCAGGGUUAGACAUGACCCCAACAUUCCCUCUGUCAAAUUUUGGCCCCGAAGGAGCUCUCAUAGGGCUUUCCUACAUGUACUUGCCCGACUGACAAAGACUCAUUGACAGACUUGUGGGCUAUUGAGG